UACGUAGGGGGCUAGCGUUGUCCGGAAUCAUUGGGCGUAAAGAGCGUGUAGGCGGCCCGGUAAGUCCGCUGUGAAAGUCGGGGGCUCAACCCUCGAAUGCCGGUGGAUACUGUCGGGCUAGAGUGCGGAAGAGGCGAGUGGAAUCCUGGUGUAGCGGUGAAAUGCGCAGAUAUCAGGAGGAACACCAAUUGCGAAGGCAGCUCGCUGGGACGUAACUGACGCUGAGACGCGAAAGCGUGGGGAGCAAACAGG
rnacentral:rRNA from 1 species